GGGCAAGCUAGGUUGCUUAAUCCAUAGCGGAAUUAUAGUUAGGAUUUCCUCACUAAAAUUGAAAUCUGUUGUUCAAGGUUUAAUAAUGACUGGUCUUCGGAGUAGGUAUUGUGGUCGUCCAGAGCAUAACACUACAUCUCUUUCUUCUUCAUUCGCAAAUCUUACCAUAAAGUACCCAUCUGAAUGAUACAACACAAUUGGCUUUGUAGCGAAGCUCCUCUACGCAAGUAUGAAUCUCUCCAUAGCACCUAUAGAGGGGCUGAUUCCCACUACAUAUACCUAGGCAUUUUUCAUAAUACAGUGGCUUCUAAUCAUACCAUACUUCGUGCUCCAUCAGUCUACCCUUCAGAUCCUGGAUUUUAUUUUUUUUAGGGAGUGGUCUGGUAAUGUCUACUUCUACCAAUAUCCGAGCAAAUGAUAUUCUGCUAGCCUGAGUUGUACAUUCAUCUGCAUACAGGGGUUUCUCCAAGCUACUCCCUAUUUUAAUUAACACUACAUCAUUCCAUCAGUUCAGGGGCAAGCUAGGUAGCUUAAUCCAUAGCGGAAUUAUAGUUAGGAUUUCCUCACUAAAAUUGAAAUCUGUUGUUCAAGGUUUAAUAAUGACUGGUCUUCGGAGUAGGUAUUGUGGUCCAGAGCAUAACACUACAUCUCUUUCUUCUUCAUUCGCAAAUCUUACCAUAAAGUACCCAUCUGAAUGAUACAACACAAUUGGCUUUGUAGCGAAGCUCCUCUACGCAAGUAUGAAUCUCUCCAUAGCACCUAUAGAGGGGCUGAUUCCCACUACAUAUACCACAAUAGCAGACUUCUAUUUUGCAUUCUCAUAAGCUACAUCAUCCGCAGUUACUUCUACCACUGUCUCCCCAUCAAUAACAGUGGGUGGAAUGAAUGAUAGAUCCAUACCUUUAGUAGCCAACCUAUUUGUAGCGAAUAAAUUCUUCCAUGGUUUCUCAAGCAGCUUCUCCACUUGCUUAUGCUUCUUUGAAGCAGUUCCUAGCUCAUUUGGAGUAUUUGUUCCUUUUAGUUUUUGCAGAUCUGUAUUUUCUCCAAUUGCUUGCUUGGUAGCUAAUUUAGGCCAAGUUUCAACACUUUUUGCCUUCCCUUUUUCAUUGGACAUCAUUGUCGGUGUUAUCUGAGGGGUUCCCAUCGGGGUUUUG
rnacentral:lncRNA from 1 species